AGCGUACACGGUGGAUGCCCUGGCAGUCAGAGGCGAUGAAGGACGUGCUAAUCUGCGAUAAGCGUCGGUAAGGUGAUAUGAACCGUUAUAACCGGCGAUUUCCGAAUGGGGAAACCCAGUGUGAUUCGUCACACUAUCAUUAACUGAAUCCAUAGGUUAAUGAGGCGAACCGGGGGAACUGAAACAUCUAAGUACCCCGAGGAAAAGAAAUCAACCGAGAUUCCCCCAGUAGCGGCGAGCGAACGGGGAGGAGCCCAGAGCCUGAAUCAGUGUGUGUGUUAGUGGAAGCGUCUGGAAAGGCGCGCGAUACAGGGUGACAGCCCCGUACACAAAAAUGCACAUGCUGUGAGCUCGAUGAGUAGGGCGGGACACGUGGUAUCCUGUCUGAAUAUGGGGGGACCAUCCUCCAAGGCUAAAUACUCCUGACUGACCGAUAGUGAACCAGUACCGUGAGGGAAAGGCGAAAAGAACCCCGGCGAGGGGAGUGAAAAAGAACCUGAAACCGUGUACGUACAAGCAGUGGGAGCCUCUUUAUGGGGUGACUGCGUACCUUUUGUAUAAUGGGUCAGCGACUUAUAUUCUGUAGCAAGGUUAACCGAAUAGGGGAGCCGAAGGGAAACCGAGUCUUAACUGGGCGUUAAGUUGCAGGGUAUAGACCCGAAACCCGGUGAUCUAGCCAUGGGCAGGUUGAAGGUUGGGUAACACUAACUGGAGGACCGAACCGACUAAUGUUGAAAAAUUAGCGGAUGACUUGUGGCUGGGGGUGAAAGGCCAAUCAAACCGGGAGAUAGCUGGUUCUCCCCGAAAGCUAUUUAGGUAGCGCCUCGUGAAUUCAUCUCCGGGGGUAGAGCACUGUUUCGGCAAGGGGGUCAUCCCGACUUACCAACCCGAUGCAAACUGCGAAUACCGGAGAAUGUUAUCACGGGAGACACACGGCGGGUGCUAACGUCCGUCGUGAAGAGGGAAACAACCCAGACCGCCAGCUAAGGUCCCAAAGUCAUGGUUAAGUGGGAAACGAUGUGGGAAGGCCCAGACAGCCAGGAUGUUGGCUUAGAAGCAGCCAUCAUUUAAAGAAAGCGUAAUAGCUCACUGGUCGAGUCGGCCUGCGCGGAAGAUGUAACGGGGCUAAACCAUGCACCGAAGCUGCGGCAGCGACGCUUAUGCGUUGUUGGGUAGGGGAGCGUUCUGUAAGCCUGCGAAGGUGUACUGUGAGGUAUGCUGGAGGUAUCAGAAGUGCGAAUGCUGACAUAAGUAACGAUAAAGCGGGUGAAAAGCCCGCUCGCCGGAAGACCAAGGGUUCCUGUCCAACGUUAAUCGGGGCAGGGUGAGUCGACCCCUAAGGCGAGGCCGAAAGGCGUAGUCGAUGGGAAACAGGUUAAUAUUCCUGUACUUGGUGUUACUGCGAAGGGGGGACGGAGAAGGCUAUGUUGGCCGGGCGACGGUUGUCCCGGUUUAAGCGUGUAGGCUGGUUUUCCAGGCAAAUCCGGAAAAUCAAGGCUGAGGCGUGAUGACGAGGCACUACGGUGCUGAAGCAACAAAUGCCCUGCUUCCAGGAAAAGCCUCUAAGCAUCAGGUAACAUCAAAUCGUACCCCAAACCGACACAGGUGGUCAGGUAGAGAAUACCAAGGCGCUUGAGAGAACUCGGGUGAAGGAACUAGGCAAAAUGGUGCCGUAACUUCGGGAGAAGGCACGCUGAUACGUAGGUGAAGUCCCUCGCGGAUGGAGCUGAAAUCAGUCGAAGAUACCAGCUGGCUGCAACUGUUUAUUAAAAACACAGCACUGUGCAAACACGAAAGUGGACGUAUACGGUGUGACGCCUGCCCGGUGCCGGAAGGUUAAUUGAUGGGGUUAGCGGUAACGCGAAGCUCUUGAUCGAAGCCCCGGUAAACGGCGGCCGUAACUAUAACGGUCCUAAGGUAGCGAAAUUCCUUGUCGGGUAAGUUCCGACCUGCACGAAUGGCGUAAUGAUGGCCAGGCUGUCUCCACCCGAGACUCAGUGAAAUUGAACUCGCUGUGAAGAUGCAGUGUACCCGCGGCAAGACGGAAAGACCCCGUGAACCUUUACUAUAGCUUGACACUGAACAUUGAGCCUUGAUGUGUAGGAUAGGUGGGAGGCUUUGAAGUGUGGACGCCAGUCUGCAUGGAGCCGACCUUGAAAUACCACCCUUUAAUGUUUGAUGUUCUAACGUUGGCCCCUAAUCGGGGUUGCGGACAGUGUCUGGUGGGUAGUUUGACUGGGGCGGUCUCCUCCUAAAGAGUAACGGAGGAGCACGAAGGUUGGCUAAUCCUGGUCGGACAUCAGGAGGUUAGUGCAAUGGCAUAAGCCAGCUUGACUGCGAGCGUGACGGCGCGAGCAGGUGCGAAAGCAGGUCAUAGUGAUCCGGUGGUUCUGAAUGGAAGGGCCAUCGCUCAACGGAUAAAAGGUACUCCGGGGAUAACAGGCUGAUACCGCCCAAGAGUUCAUAUCGACGGCGGUGUUUGGCACCUCGAUGUCGGCUCAUCACAUCCUGGGGCUGAAGUAGGUCCCAAGGGUAUGGCUGUUCGCCAUUUAAAGUGGUACGCGAGCUGGGUUUAGAACGUCGUGAGACAGUUCGGUCCCUAUCUGCCGUGGGCGCUGGAGAACUGAGGGGGGCUGCUCCUAGUACGAGAGGACCGGAGUGGACGCAUCACUGGUGUUCGGGUUGUCAUGCCAAUGGCACUGCCCGGUAGCUAAAUGCGGAAGAGAUAAGUGCUGAAAGCAUCUAAGCACGAAACUUGCCCCGAGAUGAGUUCUCCCUGACUCCUUGA
rnacentral:rRNA from 1 species